UAACCUGCCUCUUAGCGGGGGAUAACUAUUGAAACGAUAGCUAAUACCGCAUAAAAGUCGAUAUCGCAUGAUGUUGAUUUGAAAGGUGCAAUUGCAUCACUAAGAGAUGGACCUGCGUUGUAUUAGCUAGUUGGUGAGGUAACGGCUCACCAAGGCGACGAUACAUAGCCGACCUGAGAGGGUGAUCGGCCACACUGGGACUGAGACACGGCCCAG
rnacentral:rRNA from 1 species